CACACAACUGCGCCAUCCCAGACAGAGUAUCCUUAACUAUUGUUAUCAUCAUUGAAAUGGGAGCUGAAGGACAAGGCUGCUGCUGACGAUGUUGAAGUGACAGCAUUCGGUUUUCCGAAGAGAGAUGUGAACUUUAAGGCCUCUGCAGUUGACCGCCAAAGUGAUGAUGUGGUUGUCACCACAACACCCGUUCCCCACAACCAGACCACCUCUGCCCCUACUGAAGCUGGUGGUGGUGCAAGUGAAGAUGCUGUGGCUACUACCCCAGCACCUAAUCCACACAACCAGACAACUUCUGCACAAACUGAAGUUACUGAUGGAGCCAGUGAAGAUGCUGUGGACCGCCAAAGUGAUGAUGUGGUUGUCGCCACAACACCUGAUCCCCACAACCAGACCACAUCUGCCCCUACUGAAGCUGGUGAUGGAGCAAGUGAAGAUGCUGUGGCUACCACCCCAACACCAAAUCCCCCAACUACAUCUGACCACACUGCAGCUACCGGUAAGGACAUCAGUGCAUGUCUGUUUUGAUGGAACACUUUGAAUGUU
ensembl:lncRNA